CACUGCAGCUGAAAUCUUCAAUGUAUAGUUUUGUCUGAUGCGAAAGAGAACAAAUUAAAUGUUAACUUUAAACAAAACCACAGAUAAUUAUUCAGUUUGCUUUCAGCACACUGCUAAAUAACUCAGAGCUUUGAAUGUUUUGGGGUUUGAAGAUAAUUUCAGCUUUGCAUUUCUGCUCCAGGACAGGGAAGAUGCACUUUGGAUAGUGGGACAAGUCUUUUCCAUCGGUGCCCUUGGUCCUAAUGUCACUUAGGGAUCAGACAGCUGAGCCAGUGCCAUAGCAGGAUUGAUUGAAGAUGUACCCUUGGGAAGAGUUCUACCCUUCUUCAGCUUUCAUGAACACAAACCCAGGGGGUGAAACAGAACCGAGGAAGACAGGGAACAGAGGUUGGUUCAGGUCUGCUGAGCAGCCUCAGGUGUGCCAGUGCAGAACUGGAUGAGCAGCUGUGCAGGUGCAGCCAGAACACCAGACAAUGGGGUGAAAACACUACUGCACUGCACAAGACAUCUGCCCCAAACAUUAUUAAUCCCAGUUUUACAGGACAAAGUACAAUGAAUGGAAAGACUCUCCUUGGAUGGAAAGACUGGGAUACCACCUGGGAGGCGUCUGCAAAAUGCCAGAGACUCUUCACUUUGAAAAAUGGCAACAAUGUGUGUUAUAACAGGUGCCAGGAACAAUCAGUUGAGUCCUUCAUGAAACCUACAUGUUGAAAGUGCCACAGCUCCACAGAGGCUCCAAGGGUGGCAGAGGAAGCUGUGGGGCAUGGCAGCAUGUGGAGCAGGGGUUCAUUAAUUCCUUAUUUCCCUGCUGUGGUCCUCUGAGAGGGAAGUCAAGCUGAAAGAUGCAGUGCAGGCUGGUGGUUGUGGCAAUGGACACUCCUCUCCUUCCUACCCACCCAGCCUAGCCCAAGGAGGUUUGGGACCAGCAUGUCUUAUUCACAUCCUUACAUUACCCCCAGCUGCCAAAGAGAAAAAGAAGCCUGACCCUGCUCCAGCUUAUCCAUCUCCCUGGUGCUCGUGUGGCAAAGCCCUGAGGGUCCUCCAUUCCCCCUCUCAGAUGGAGAGUCAGGGGGGCUGAGAUCCCAGUGCAGCUCCGUGGAGGGCAGGACACAGCACUGCAGUCCCAGGAGCUGUG